rnacentral:rRNA from 1 species
CCUACGGGAGGCAGCAGUGGGGAAUAUUGGGCAAUGGGCGCAAGCCUGACCCAGCAACGCCGCGUGAAGGAAGAAGGCUCUCGGGUUGUAAACUUCUUUUAUCAGGGACGAAGCAAGUGACGGUACCUGAUGAAUAAGCCACGGCUAACGACGUGCCAGCAGCGGCGGUAAUACGUAGGUGGCAAGCGUUAUCCGGAUUGACUGGGUGUAAAGGGCGUGUAGGCGGGAAAGCAAGUCAGAUGUGAAAACCAUGGGCUCAACCUGUGGCGUGCAUUUGAAACUGUUUUUCUUGAGUACUGGAGAGGCAGACGGAAUUCCUAGUGUAGCGGUGAAAUGCGUAGAUAUUAGGAGGAACACCAGUGGCGAAGGCGGUCUGCUGGACAGCAACUGACGCUGAGGCGCGAAAGCGUGGGGAGCAAACAGGAUUAGAUACCCCAGUAGUC